rnacentral:tRNA from 1 species
AAAGUUUUAAGUUAAAUAAACUAUUAAUCUUCAAAAUUAAUUUUAAAGGCCCAACAUAUAAUUCUUUAAGCUUUA